GCCCAAGUGGCGGAAUUGGUAGACGCGCAUGCUUCAGGAGCAUGUGGGGAUCUUCCCCGUGGAGGUUCGAGUCCUCUCUUGGGCA
rnacentral:tRNA from 1 species